GUUCUGCACCGUCCAAGUCGCGUUGUGCUGUUCCAUUGUCGCCGUCAUGGUUCAAUCCAUCUCCGUGGUGGCACAAUCACUAGAUCUGAUGUUGAUGAAGAGGUUACUUACGAAGACUAGAGAAAUUGAAGCAUGAAAGAAGGUGAAUAUGACUAUUAAGAGCAGGGCAGUUGAAAAUAUGUAACUUUGGAAUGUCAAGGCAGUAUUGAAGAACUCUCAAGCAAUAUACUUCUGUUAUGGUUACAUUGGUAUAGAAUAUUUUAUUGCAGGGAUUUCAAAUGGGUAUAGAUCUCCCUCAAUUCCUGCUGAAUUUUGAUGGGGAAUCUUUGUGGGAUACUUUUGCCUUGGAUUGUUGAUGUGUGAAUCUUGACCUCAAGUACAUUAAGCAAGAGCGGACCAAGUUUUGGAAGAGCAUCCAGUACUAGUAGAGCCCUAUCUCCAUCUUUAGCAAGUGAUUUCAGACAGAUUUUCGUGAUAACACCUUGCCUGCUUGAAGAGCUAAUGAAGGUGAAUUGGGGAUCAUAAGUCUGGUUGUGACAAAUCUUGAUAUUUUUCAUCUACCGUUUUCAUUUGAUUUUUAAUUUCUCCAUUGUUUCAUCACUUUCUGCAUUGUUCAAAAUUUAGUGCUUGAUAUAGUCCUCUUGGUUGUACUUUUUUCUGGGGGCAAAGGAGUUAUGGAAAAUUUGCUGGUAGUUAAUCUUGGUAUAUCAUUGUAGAAUUUCUUUUAAAUUAUUAAGUUGUGCCAAAAUUAUGUAAUAACAUCGAUUCUUGGAUUCAUUUGAAGUCCUUGGACUAGGUGUAAAUCAAUUGUUGUGUUAAGUGUGAAGUAUUGACAGUGUUUAGAUUUUGUGGAUGA